CAGUGUGACUCCCACCCGACCUUGACCCUGGAGAGAGCGCUUAUUAGAAUCACGGGGAGGGGCGGAGCACAGUGGCCCCUGGCCUAGGCGUUUGGAGACAGUGCCAGGCCACCAGCGCCUCGCCUGGUUAGUGUAGGGACCGCGGCUGGACAGCAGGGAGACCCCCACCCACGAGCCAGAUCCUGAAAGUUAGGAUCCCUAAGGAAAGUUAGUGCGCUGUUCUUCCCGGUCCUGGGCAUCGGUUUGUCUUGCUGCAGUGCCAGGACGCGCCCACUCCGCUCCAGUCUCCUUUCCUCCCAUCCCCACUGUCUGGGUCGGCUCUGGGAUCUGCAGGCAGCGCGGGCGCGCCUCGGGGUCCACGCGGGACCAGCCCCAGCCCAGUUCCCUGCCGGGUGCGUCCUGCUCCAGUCCAGGGCUCACCGUGAGCCUCUAGCUCCCCCGCGCCGCCGCUUCUGGGCUCACAAGGAAAAGCAGAGGAAAUACACUCGGAUCCAAG
rnacentral:lncRNA from 1 species